rnacentral:rRNA from 1 species
UACGUAGGGAGCGAGCGUUGUCCGGAUUCAUUGGGCGUAAAGAGCUCGUAGGCGGCUUGGCAAGUCGGGUGUGAAAACUCCAGGCUCAACCUGGAGACGCCACCCGAUACUGCCAUGGCUAGAGUCCGGUAGGGGACCACGGAAUUCCUGGUGUAGCGGUGAAAUGCGCAGAUAUCAGGAGGAACACCGGUGGCGAAGGCGGUGGUCUGGGCCGGAACUGACGCUGAGGAGCGAAAGUGUGGGGAGCGAACAGG